GACGAACGCUGGCGGCGUGCUUAACACAUGCAAGUCGAACGGAAAGGCCCUGCUUUUGUGGGGUGCUCGAGUGGCGAACGGGUGAGUAACACGUGAGUAACCUGCCCUUGACUUUGGGAUAACUUCAGGAAACUGGGGCUAAUACCGGAUAGGAGCUCCUGCUGCAUGGUGGGGGUUGGAAAGUUUCGGCGGUUGGGGAUGGACUCGCGGCUUAUCAGCUUGUUGGUGGGGUAGUGGCUUACCAAGGCUUUGACGGGUAGUCGGCCUGAGAGGGUGACCGGCCACAUGGGGACUGAGAUACGGCCCAGACUGCUACGGGCGGCAGCAGUGGGGAAUAUUGCACAGUGGGCGGAAGCCUGAUGCAGCAACGCCGCGUGCGGGAUGACGGCUUUCGGGUUGUAAACCGCUUUGGCCUGUGACGAAGCGUGAGUGACGGUAAUGGGUAAAGAAGCAACGGCUAACUACGUG
rnacentral:rRNA from 1 species